GACGGAGGGUGCUAGCGUUGUUCGGAAUGACUGGGCGUAAAGGGCGCGUAGGCGGCUCGUGGAGUCGGGUGUGAAAGCCCGGGGCUCAACCCCGGAACGGCAUCCGAUACUGGCGGGCUUGAGACCGGGAGAGGAGGGUGGAAUACCCAGUGUAGAGGUGAAAUUCGUAGAUAUUGGGUGGAACACCGGUGGCGAAAGCGGCUCUCUGGCCCGGAUCUGACGCUGAGGCGCGAAAGCGUGGGGAGCAAACAGG
rnacentral:rRNA from 1 species